rnacentral:tRNA from 1 species
GGGGUUGUAGCUCAGUGGCAGAGUGCUCACCUAGCAUGUGUGAGGUACUGGGUUUGAUUCUCAGCACUGCA